rnacentral:rRNA from 1 species
GCUCCGGCGGUUAAAGAUGGGCAUGCGCGACAUUAGCUAGUUGGCGAGGUAACGGCUCACCAAGGCUGCGAUGUCUAGGGGUUCUGAGAGGAUUAACCCCCACACUGGUACUGAGACACGGACCAGACUCCUACGGGAGGCAGCAGUAGGGAAUAUUGGGCAAUGGACGCAAGUCUGACCCAGCCAUGCCGCGUGCAGGAUGAAGGCCCUAUGGGUUGUAAACUGCUUUUGUACGGGAAUAAACCCUCCGACGUGUCGGGGGCUGAAGGUACCGUAAGAAUAAGCACCGGCUAACUCCGUGCCAGCAGCCGCGGUAAUACGGAGGGUGCAAGCGUUAUCCGGAUUUAUUGGGUUUAAAGGGUGCGUAGGUGGAGUGGUAAGUCAGUGGUGAAAUCCUACAGCUUAACUGUAGAACUGCCAUAGAUACUGCCAUUCUUGAGUACAGUUGAAGUGGGCGGAAUGUGUCAUGUAGCGGUGAAAUGCUUAGAUAUGACACAGAACACCGAUUGCGAAGGCAGCUCACUAAGCUGCAACUGACACUGAGGCACGAAAGCGUGGGGGUCAAACAGGAUUAGAUACCCUGGUAGUCCACGCCCUAAACGAUGAUCACUCGAUGUUGGCGAUACACUGUCAGCGUCUAAGCAAAAGCAUUAAGUGAUCCACCUGGGGAGUACGACCGCAAGGUUGAAACUCAAAGGAAUUGACGGGGGCCCGCACAAGCGGAGGAGCAUGUGGUUUAAUUCGAUGAUACGCGAGGAACCUUACCAGGGCUAGAACGUCUUAUCCCGCAAGGGAGUGUUUGCUGAAAGGCAUUUGAAAAAGACGAGGUGCUGCAUGGUUGUCGUCAGCUCGUGCCGUGAGGUGUCGGAUUAAGUUCCAUAACGAGCGCAACCCCUAUCUUUAGUUGCCAUCAGGUAAUGCUGGGAACUCUAAAGAAACUGCCUUCGUAAGAAGUGAGGAAGGUGGGGAUGACGUCAAAUCAGCACGGCCCUUACGUCCUGGGCUACACACGUGCUACAAUGGCCGGUACAAUGGGCAGCUACCUAGUGAUAGGAUGCUAAUCUCCAAAGCCGGUCUCAGUUCGGAUCGAAGUCUGCAACUCGACUUCGUGAAGUCGGAUUCGCUAGUAAUCGGAUAUCAGCAAUGAUCCGGUGAAUACGUUCCCGGGCCUUGUACACACCGCCCGUCAAGCCAUGGGAGUCGGGGGUACCUAAAGUACGUCACCGCAAGGAGCGUCCUAGGGUAAAACCGAUGACUGGGGCUAAGUCGUAACAAGGUA